UACGGGGGGAGCAAGCGUUGUUCGGAAUCACUGGGCUUAAAGGGCGCGUAGGCGGGUUCGAAAGUCUGUGGUGAAAGCCUCCAGCUUAACUGGAGAAGUGCCAUGGAUACUGCGAACCUGGAGGAGGGUAGGGGCAUCUGGAACGCUGGGUGGAGCGGUGAAAUGCGUUGAUAUCCAGCGGAACUCCGGUGGCGAAGGCGAGGUGCUGGACCCUUUCUGACGCUGAGGCGCGAAAGCCAGGGGAGCAAACGGG
rnacentral:rRNA from 1 species